AUUGAACGCUGGCGGCAGGCCUAACACAUGCAAGUCGAACGAGUGGCGGACGGGUGAGUAAUGUCUGGGAAACUGCCCGAUGGAGGGGGAUAACUACUGGAAACGGUAGCUAAUACCGCAUACCAUCGGAUGUGCCCCUAUGGGCUUAGCUAGUAGGUGGGGUAAAGGCUAACCUCGGCGACGAACCCUAGCUGGUCUGAGAGGAUGACCAGCCACACUGGAACUUCGACAGCGUCCAGACUCUUCCGAGAUGCAACCGUGGGGAAUAUUGCACAAUGGGCGCAAUCCUGAUGCAGCCAUGCCGCAUAUAUGGCGUAGGCCUUCGGGUUGUAAAGUAUGUUCAGCGGGGAGGCGUUAACUGCAGAAGAAGCACCGGCUAACUCCGUGCCAGCAGCCGCGGUAAUAC
rnacentral:rRNA from 1 species